rnacentral:rRNA from 1 species
UACGUAGGGGGCAAGCGUUGUCCGGAUUUACUGGGCGUAAAGAGCGCGUAGGCGGAGAUCUAAGCGUGGCCUGAAAGCCCCCGGCUCAACCGGGGAGUGCGGCUGCGAACUGGGUUUCUUGAGGACGAUAGAGGAGAGUGGAAUUCCUGGUGUAGCGGUGAAAUGCGUAGAUAUCAGGAGGAACACCCGAGGCGAAGGCGGCUCUCUGGGCCGAUACUGACGCUGAGGAGCGAAAGCGUGGGGAGCGAACAGG